CUGCUCUGUUUCAGCUGAUCUAUAAUUUAUUCCACGUUAUUUUAAAAACAAAAUGUGGCAGGAACUCUGGACAGCCUUUAUACCGGUGGCUGACCACGUGUGUUUGUUUUGCUGCUGUUCCCAUACUGCUCUGGCUCAGCAGGAGUUCUGGAUCCAGGAUAAGGCAGACAAAGUGCAGAGAGUGCUGUACCUCUGAUGCAUCAUUCACUGGAGUCCUCCUUCGAGAUUAGUGUGUAGCUUUGAUGUCUUUGAGACAGGACAUGGCACACUGUCAGCAUGGGAGGACCACGUGUGGAUGAUCAGAAGGCUGAUACACACAGGCUGAAGGCUUUAACUGGCUGAAGGAAGUUUGGCAAACUUGAUGCAGUGGCAGAGUACUAUACGCAUCUUUAGACUUCCCCCUCACCUCGUAUCUGUGUGUUUGAAGGAACUCAGAGAGGACCCAAAUGGCCUAAACCGGUAUAGAUACUGCCACAUGCUCAUCUAUCCCCUGUGAGGCCUGUAAGU
rnacentral:lncRNA from 1 species